GCGGAUGUGGCGAAAUUGGUAGACGCGUUAGAUUUAGGAUCUAAUACAAUUGAGAGUUCAAGUCUCUCCUUCCGUA
rnacentral:tRNA from 1 species